AGGGCACCACCAGGAGUGGAGCCUGCGGCUUAAUUUGACUCAACACGGGAAAACUCACCCGGCCCGGACACCGGAAGGAUUGACAGAUUGAGAGCUCUUUCUUGAUUCAGUGGGUGGUGGUGCAUGGCCGUUCUUAGUUGGUGGAGUGAUUUGUCUGGUUAAUUCCGAUAACGAACGAGACUCUAGCCUACUAAAUAGAUCGUCGGCUUACAAACGCCGGCGAGACUUCUUAGAGGGACAGGCGGUGAUUCAACCGCACGAAACAGAGCAAUAACAGGUCUGUGAUGCCCUUAGAUGUCCGGGGCCGCACGCGCGCUACACUGAAGUGAUCAGCGUGCUUUUUCAACCUACUCUGUCAAGAGUGGGGAACCCAAUGAACCUUCUUCGUGAUUGGGAUAGGGGAUUGUAAUUAUUCCCCUUGAACGAGGAAUUCCCAGUAAGCGCGAGUCAUAAGCUCGCGUUGAUUACGUCCCUGCCCUUUGUACACACCGCCCGUCGCUACUACCGAUUGAAUGUUUU
rnacentral:rRNA from 1 species